rnacentral:rRNA from 2 species
UCAGGACGAACGCUGGCGGCGUGCCUAAUACAUGCAAGUCGAACGAACUCUGGUAUUGAUUGGUGCUUGCAUCAUGAUUUACAUUUGAGUGAGUGGCGAACUGGUGAGUAACACGUGGGAAACCUGCCCAGAAGCGGGGGAUAACACCUGGAAACAGAUGCUAAUACCGCAUAACAACUUGGACCGCAUGGUCCGAGCUUGAAAGAUGGCUUCGGCUAUCACUUUUGGAUGGUCCCGCGGCGUAUUAGCUAGAUGGUGGGGUAACGGCUCACCAUGGCAAUGAUACGUAGCCGACCUGAGAGGGUAAUCGGCCACAUUGGGACUGAGACACGGCCCAAACUCCUACGGGAGGCAGCAGUAGGGAAUCUUCCACAAUGGACGAAAGUCUGAUGGAGCAACGCCGCGUGAGUGAAGAAGGGUUUCGGCUCGUAAAACUCUGUUGUUAAAGAAGAACAUAUCUGAGAGUAACUGUUCAGGUAUUGACGGUAUUUAACCAGAAAGCCACGGCUAACUACGUGCCAGCAGCCGCGGUAAUACGUAGGUGGCAAGCGUUGUCCGGAUUUAUUGGGCGUAAAGCGAGCGCAGGCGGUUUUUUAAGUCUGAUGUGAAAGCCUUCGGCUCAACCGAAGAAGUGCAUCGGAAACUGGGAAACUUGAGUGCAGAAGAGGACAGUGGAACUCCAUGUGUAGCGGUGAAAUGCGUAGAUAUAUGGAAGAACACCAGUGGCGAAGGCGGCUGUCUGGUCUGUAACUGACGCUGAGGCUCGAAAGUAUGGGUAGCAAACAGGAUUAGAUACCCUGGUAGUCCAUACCGUAAACGAUGAAUGCUAAGUGUUGGAGGGUUUCCGCCCUUCAGUGCUGCAGCUAACGCAUUAAGCAUUCCGCCUGGGGAGUACGGCCGCAAGGCUGAAACUCAAAGGAAUUGACGGGGGCCCGCACAAGCGGUGGAGCAUGUGGUUUAAUUCGAAGCUACGCGAAGAACCUUACCAGGUCUUGACAUACUAUGCAAAUCUAAGAGAUUAGACGUUCCCUUCGGGGACAUGGAUACAGGUGGUGCAUGGUUGUCGUCAGCUCGUGUCGUGAGAUGUUGGGUUAAGUCCCGCAACGAGCGCAACCCUUAUUAUCAGUUGCCAGCAUUAAGUUGGGCACUCUGGUGAGACUGCCGGUGACAAACCGGAGGAAGGUGGGGAUGACGUCAAAUCAUCAUGCCCCUUAUGACCUGGGCUACACACGUGCUACAAUGGAUGGUACAACGAGUUGCGAACUCGCGAGAGUAAGCUAAUCUCUUAAAGCCAUUCUCAGUUCGGAUUGUANGCUGCAACUCGCCUACAUGAAGUCGGAAUCGCUAGUAAUCGCGGAUCAGCAUGC